rnacentral:rRNA from 1 species
CGGAGGAUCCAAGCGUUAUCCGGAAUCAUUGGGUUUAAAGGGUCCGUAGGCGGUUUAGUAAGUCAGUGGUAGAAAGCCCAUCGCUCAACGGUGGAACGGCAUUGAUACUGCUAGACUUGAAUUAUUAGGAAGUAACUAGAAUAUGUAGUGUAGCGGUGAAAUGCUUAGAGAUUACAUGGAAUACCAAUUGCGAAGGCAGGUUACUACUAAUGGAUUGACGCUGAUGGACGAAAGCGUGGGUAGCGAACAGGAUUAGAUACCCUGGUAGUCCACGCCGUAAACGAUGGAUACUAGCUGUUGGGAGCGAUCUCAGUGGCUAAGCGAAAGUGAUAAGUAUCCCACCUGGGGAGUACGUUCGCAAGAAUG